rnacentral:rRNA from 1 species
ACGCUCGACACCUACGGGAGGCAGCAGUGGGGAAUAUUGCACAAUGGGGGAAACCCUGAUGCAGCGACGCCGCGUGAGCGAAGAAGUAUUUCGGUAUGUAAAGCUCUAUCAGCAGGGAAGAUCAUGACGGUACCUGACUAAGAAGCUCCGGCUAAAUACGUGUCAGCAGCCGCGGUAAUCUGAGCGGGCUGGCAAGGC